CCUACGGGCGGCAGCAGUGAGGAAUAUUGGUCAAUGGGCGCGAGCCUGAACCAGCCAAGUAGCGUGAAGGAUGACUGCCCUACGGGUUGUAAACUUCUUUUAUAAAGGAAUAAAGUGAGGCACGUGUGCCUUUUUGUAUGUACUUUAUGAAUAAGGAUCGGCUAACUCCGCGCCAGCAGCCGCGGUAAUAAGGAGGAUCCGAGCGUUAUCCGGAUUUAUUGGGUUUAAAGGGAGCGUAGAUGGGUUGUUAAGUCAGUUGUGAAAGUUUGCGGCUCAACCGUAAAAUUGCAAUUGAUACUGGCAGCCUUGAGUACAGUUGAGGUAGGCGAGAAUCGUGGUGUAGCGGUGAAAUGCUUAGGUAUCACGAAGAAAUACGAUUGCGAAGGGAGCUUACUAAACUGCCACUGACAUUGAUGCUCGAAAGUGGGGGUAUCAAACAGGAUUAGGUACCCCAGUAGUC
rnacentral:rRNA from 1 species